CUGAAUCCGAGUUCUGGACCGGUCGGCUCGGAAGCCCCUGCUGUCACGUUUUGGUUCCGUUGUGUUAAUUGCCGUGUGGUGGUGACGCGAGCCGCGGCGGCCGGCGGACCGCGUGGUCUUACGAAGCCACCUGCCAUUUCGGAGCCUCCUCUGUGACACGAGGACCUGGUUCCCUGAACAGCGCGGCCGGCAGCUUGGGCCAGGCCCUCGGCGGUCUCGGCGCGUGCCCAGCCCGUGCAGCCCUCUCGGCCCGCACGCGGCUGACUCCAGGCACUGGCUUGUAAGCCGAGGAUAUGGCGACAGGUGAUGAGACGUCACCUUCCUCAUCGCCCUCAAGGACGCUGGCUUCCGUCCCGCCGCCCGCCCACCGCCUGUCCCCUUGGCUCCGACGGAGCCGACGUGGCCAAGAACGGAAGGGGGCCUCACCCCAAACUCCCAGAGGACUAAGUCCCUCCGAAAACUGUGCAGGCGCCGCGGAGACAGACCCUCGCCCCGAGUCUUCGGCUGAGGCCUCGGCCUUACCACCGCCCCCGAUGCCGCUACUGCAGCCCCGUGAGAGGCCCCGAGGAAGUGGGGGUGAGCCACGCCUCAACUCCUGAUGUGCAGACGCGGAGACAUAAACGUUCACUGUUUGAGCUCAGAGAUGAAUACAUUAAUUCAUGGAGAGAUUGGACGACUUGUUCAAAACUUCACAGCCAGGUAACGCCACAGUCGGCCCUAGAACUUGUCUUAGGUUUCUGCAUCAAGCUCUCUGUGGAAUGUAAAAGCUGAUUACUAUGAAUUUUACGGUGAUCAAGGCACUGUGGUGCUGGCUUAAAAACAGACAAAUACACCAUCAGAACAAAAUAGAAUCCAGAAAUAAAACCACACAUGCAUGGUCAACUGAUUUUCAACAAACAUGCCAAGGCAAUUUAACGGGGGAGAGGAAAAUCUUUUCAACAAAUGGUGCUCGGAUAACUGGGCUAAAUGCAUGGAAAAAGUAACAUCUACCCCUACGUCUCACUAUACACACAAAUUAAUUCAAGAUGGAUCAUGAGAUGUAAAAGCUAAAAUUAUAAAUUUUCCAGAAGAAAACAGCGGAGCCUGCCUUUGCGACUUGGAAAAAAAAAAAAAAACAACACAAUAAUUUAUU